rnacentral:lncRNA from 1 species
UAAUCGCUUUCAAUCACCUUCAUAAAGCUCGAUACUUUCAUCCUACCAUAAAAAUGUACUAAAUAAUUGAAAAAAAAUCUUAAAUAAUUUGAUGGCUUGCGAAAAUAGCAAACCCUUCCAUGGAAGAUCCAAAUCCUAGUCUUAUUCCUUUUACACAUUAAAGGUGUGUAGGAUUAAGAUAUACAGUCGAUUUCAAAAUUGACUUGAAACCAAUGAUACAUAAAGUUAAGUACGA